UCGAUUUGGAGUUUGUUGCCCUGAGUGAUGGGCUCCGAAGCUAACGCGAUAAAUCGACCGCCUGGGGAGUACGGCCGCAAGGUUAAAACUCAAAUGAAUUGACGGGGGCCCGCACAAGCGGUGGAGCAUGUGGUUUAAUUCGAUGCAACGCGAAGAACCUUACCUGGUCUUGACAUCCACAGAAUCUUGCAGAGAUGCGAGAGUGCCUUCGGGAACUGUGAGACAGGUGCUGCAUGGCUGUCGUCAGCUCGUGUUGUGAAAUGUUGGGUUAAGUCCCGCAACGAGCGCAACCCUUAUCCUUUGUUGCCAUUGGUUCGGCCGGGAACUCAAAGGAGACUGCCGUUGAUAAAGCGGAGGAAGGUGGGGACGACGUCAAGUCAUCAUGGCCCUUACGACUAGGGCUACACACGUGCUACAAUGGCGUAUACAAAGGGAGGCGACCUCGCGAGAGCAAGCGGACCUCAUAAAGUACGUCUAAGUCCGGAUUGGAGUCUGCAACUCGACUCCAUGAAGUCGGAAUCGCUAGUAAUCGUGAAUCAGAAUGUCACGGUGAAUACGUUCCCGGGCCU
rnacentral:rRNA from 1 species